rnacentral:rRNA from 1 species
UACGAAGGGGGCUAGCGUUGUUCGGAAUUACUGGGCGUAAAGCGUGCGCAGGCGGCUUCUCAAGUCCGGGGUGAAAGCCCAGAGCUCAACUCUGGAACUGCCUUUGAGACUGAGAGGCUUGAGUACGGGAGAGGUGAGUGGAAUUCCCAGUGUAGAGGUGAAGUUCGUAGAUAUUGGGAAGAACACCGGUGGCGAAGGCGGCUCACUGGCCCGUAACUGACGCUCAUGCACGACAGCGUGGGGAUCAAACAGG